rnacentral:rRNA from 1 species
UGAGGAAUAUUGGGCAAUGCCCGAAAGGGUGACCCAGCAACGCCGCGUGGAGGAUGAAGGUCGUAAGAUUGUAAACUCCUGUUAGAGGGGAAGAAUAACUAAGUUUGGAGCUUAGUAUGACUGUACCCUCAGAGAAAGCCCCGGCUAACUACGUGCCAGCAGCCGCGGUAAUACGUAGGGGGCAGGCGUUGUCCGGAUUUACUGGGUGUAAAGGGCGCGCAGGCGGAAUGGAAAGUCAGUGGUGAAAUCCUACAGCUUAACUGUAGAACUGCCUUUGAUACUUUCAUUCUUGAGUUCGGGAGAGAGAGACGGAAUUCCAGGUGUAGUGGUGAAAUACGUAGAUAUCUGGAAGAACACCAGUUGCGAAGGCGGUCUCUUGGUCCGAUACUGACGCUGAGGCGCGAAAGCGUGGGGAGCAAACA